AAUAUCUUUUUUAGCUCACCUGGCCUAAAAGGCCAUGUGAGCUUUUCUCAUCACUUGGCGUCCGUCGUCGUUAACAAUUUUUCAAACAUCUUCUCCUCUGAAACUACUGAAUGGAUUUGAAUGAAACUUAGCAUGAUUGUUCCUUAGAUUAUCCUGCACAAAGUGUGUGCUUCGAUUUUUGAUCCGUCAAAAAACAUGGCCGCCGUUACUUAUUUUUCAGAUGAAUCAAACAAACCAUUGUUGGGUUGCUGCCACUUAAUUGGUAAUUUUAAGGAAAUUUUGCAGUUUUUGGUCAUUAUCUUGAAUAUUAUUAUAGAUAAAGAUAAACUGUAAACAGCAAAAAUGAUCAGCAAAGUAAGAUCUACAAAUAAGUUAAUAUGACCAAAAUUGUCAAUUGACCCCUUAAGGGGUUAUUGUCCUUUAAUGACAAUUUUUCACAAUUUGUUCAUCACAUUUGCUAACUUUAAAAAAUCUUCUCCUCUGAAGCUACUGAAUGGAUUUAGAUGAAACUUAGCAUGAUUGUUCCUUAGAUUAUCCUGCACAAAGUGUGUGCUUCGAUUUUUGAUCCGUCAAAAAACAUGGCCGCCGUUACUUAAAAUAGAACAUAGGGGUCAAAUGCAGUUUUUGGCUUAUAUCUCAAAAACGAAAGCAUUUAGAGCAAAUCUGACAUGGGGUAAAAAUGUUCAUUAGGUCAAGAUCUAUCAGCCCUGAAAUUUUCAGAUGAAUCAAACAAACCAUUGUUGGGUUGCUGCUACUUAAUUGGUAAUUUUAAGGAAAUUUUGCAGUUUUUGGUCAUUAUCUUGAAUAUUAUUAUAGAUAAAGAGAUAAACUGUAAACAGCAAAAUGAUCAGCAAAGUAAGAUCUACAAAUAAGUUAAUAUGACCAAAAUUGUCAAUUGACCCCUUAAGGGGUUAUUGUCCUUUAAUGACAAUUUUUCACAAUUUGUUCAUCACAUUUUGCUAACUUUAAAAAAUCUUCUCCUCUGAAGCUACUGAAUGGAUUUGGAUGAAACUUAGCAUGAUUGUUCCUUAGAUUAUCCUGCACAAAGUGUGUGCUUCGAUUUUUGAUCCGUCAAAAAACAUGGCCGCCGUUACUUAAAAUAGAACAUAGGGGUCAAAUGCAGUUUUGGCUUAUAUCUCAAAAACGAAAGCAUUUAGAGCAAAUCUGACAUGGGGUAAAAAUGUUCAUUAGGUCAAGAUCUAUCAGCCCUGAAAUUUUCAGAUGAAUCAAACAAACCAUUGUUGGGUUGCUGCCACUUAAUUGGUAAUUUUAAGGAAACUUUGCAGUUUUUGGUCAUUAUCUUGAAUAUUAUUAUAGAUAAAGAUAAACUGUAAACAGCAAAAAUGAUCAGCAAAGGAAGAUCUACAAAUAAGUUAAUAUGACCAAAAUUGUCAAUUGACCC
rnacentral:lncRNA from 1 species